UGCCACAGAUGACUCUUAGCCUGAGGA
rnacentral:piRNA from 1 species